rnacentral:tRNA from 1 species
GGAUUGUGGCUCAGCGGUAGAGUGCUCUCGUAGCACGUGGGAGGCCCUGGGUUCGAUCCUCAGCACCA